GGAUCGAUGAUGAGAAAAAUUGUCCGAGGACUUUAAGGGACUUAUUCCAGAUGUCAAUCUGAGGUCC